GGACUACACGGGUUUCUAAUCCUGUUUGCUCCCCACGCUUUCGUGUCUCAGCGUCAGUAUUCGUCCAGUUGGCCGCCUUCGCCACCGGUGUUCCUCUCGAUAUCUACGAAUUUCACCUCUACACCGAGAAUUCCACCAACCUCUCCGAUACUCUAGCCCGCUAGUUUCGAGUGCACUUCCUGGGUUGAGCCCAGGGCUUUCACAUCCGACUUAAUGGACCGCCUACACACGCUUUACGCCCAGUAAUUCCGAACAACGUUUGCACCCUCUGUCUUACCGCGGCUGCUGGCAC
rnacentral:rRNA from 1 species